rnacentral:lncRNA from 1 species
GUCUUUCUACAUUCUACCAACCCAACAGAUGUUUCUACUACAGUGAAUGUUAACCAAUGAGGUGGGUCUUUACACAUUCUACCAACAUAACAGAUGUUUCUACUACAGUGAAUAUUAACCAAUGAGGUGGGUCUUUCCACAUUCUACCAACCCAACAGAUGUUUCUACUACAGUGAUAUUAACCAAUGAGGUGGGUCUUUCCACAUUCUACCAACACAACAGAUGUUAAUACUACAGUGAAUAUUAACCAAUGAGGUGGGUCUUUACACAUUCUACCAACACAACAGAUGUUUCUACUACAGUGAAUAUUAACCAAUGAGGUGGGUCUUUACACAUUCUACCAUCACAACAGAUGUUUCUACUACAGUGAAUAUUAACCAAUGAGGUGGGUCUUUCCACAUUCUACCAACACAACAGAUGUUAAUACUACAGUGAAUAUUAACCAAUGCGGUGGGUCUUUCCACAUUCUACCAACCCAACAGAUGUUUCUACUACAGUGAAUAUUAACCAAUGAGGUGGGUCUUUCCACAUUCUACCAACACAACAGAUGGUAAUACUACAGUGAAUAUUAACCAAUGAGGUGGGUCUUUCCAUAUCCUACCAACACAACAGAUGUUUCUACUACAGUGAAUAUUAACCAAUGAGGUGGGUCUUUACACAUCCUACCAACCCAACAGAUGGUUCUACUACAGUGAAUAUUAACCAAUGAGGUGGGUCUUUCCACAUUCUACCAACACAACAGAUGUUAAUACUACAGUGAAUAUUAACCAAUGAGGUGGGUCUUUCCACAUUCUACAAACACAACAGAUGGUAAUACUACAGUGAAAAUUAACCAAUGAGGUGGGUCUUUCCACAUUCUACCAACACAACAGUUGUUUCAACUACAGUGAAUAUUAACCAAUGACGUGGGUCUUUCC